CCUACGGGAGGCAGCAGUGAGGAAUUUUCCGCAAUGGGCGAAAGCCUGACGGAGCAAUACCGCGCGAGGGAUGAAGGAUUUUGGUCUGUAAACCUCUUUUCUCAAGAAAGAAGUUCUGACGGUACUUGAGGAAUAAGCAUCGGCUAACUCCGUGCCAGCAGCCGCGGUAAUACGGGGGAUGCAAGCGUUAUCCGGAAUGAUUGGGCGUAAAGCGCCUGUAGGUUGUUUAUUAAGUCCGUUGUUAAAGCCUAGGGCUUAACCCUAGAAAAGCAAUGGAAACUAGUAGACUAGAGUAUGGCAGGGGUAGAGGGAAUUUCUAGUGUAGCGGUGAAAUGCGUAGAUAUUAGAAAGAACACCGGUGGCGAAAGCGCUCUACUGGACCAUUACUGACACUCAGAGGCGAAAGCUAGGGUAGCAAAAGGGAUUAGAUACCCCUGUAGUCCUAGCCGUAAACGAUAGAUACUAGAUGUUGUGCAUUAUGUACAGUAUCGUAGCUAACGCGUUAAGUAUCCCGCCUGGGGAGUACGCUCGCAAGGGUGAAACUCAAAUGAAUUGACGG
rnacentral:rRNA from 1 species